rnacentral:tRNA from 1 species
GGCAGUGUGCCAGAGUGGUUAAUGGGUAUGACUCGGAAUCAUAUGGCUUCGGCCGCAUAGGUUCAAAUCCUGUCGCUGUCG